UCAAAAAAAUCAAACGGCACAAAAUCUAGAUUGAAGAGACAAAGAAAGAAGAAAAUUCCAGAAGAAAAAAAAAGGCUCAAGGAUGCUGAGAACGGAAUCGAAGCCGAAAUCAGUAAGGAAACCUCUGAGAGAUUUGACGAACAAUAAAAUCACAAAGACUUUCUCCAAAUCUGAGAUGCCGAAGAAGAAGAUUAUCCAAAAAGACAGUAAUAAUCAAAACCACAACUCCCUCGAUCUCCUCCUCUUCCUUCGCUCCGAUCUUUCCUCUCUCCUUCGCCAGAUUGAUGAACUAGUUGUGGAAGCUUUCAAGCUUAAGUCAAGGGAACAGGGGAGAAAAGAAAUUGAAUCUUUCACGAGCGACAUUUCUGAUAUGCUUUUCUCCUUAAAGCCGUGGGUCCCCAGAUUUCAGAAGGCACUUUCCAGUCCUACUGGGGAGCACGAAGAUCAUCAGCCUCAAACAAACUUGGAAGCUGAAAUUGCGACUUUUGUUGAUGCAAAUGAAAAUGAAUGCUUUGAUGUUGGAAGUCCAGAAGAAACAACGUUGGACUCGUUAAUCUCCCCCUCUCCCCUUGUAUCUUGGCGUGCUGCUGACUGUAAUGUUGAGAGAGGUAGACAGCUGUUUCUGCUCACACCUCUUCCUCUGUUGAAAGCAGUGUCUUCCAAGAGGCGUGAAUUGUCUAAGUCAGUAAUCGAAGGGAUAGCUUCCAAAUCUAAUGUUGAGCUUGCAUCUUUUCUCAACAUUCCUGUGGAUGAAAAUGCUUACUUGCUUGAUGGUGUUGAAAUGAAGGCAACUCCAGUUAAGCCUUCUGAUUUAGUUGUGGUUCAAACAGUUAACACAUCGGAGUGUAGGAUCGUUUCUUCACCAGUGUUUCCAAAAAGAGAUCAUUCCGUGCUUGUCACGACCCCAUGCUUAAAAAUGUCACCUCCUAAAUCUUGUUUGCUGCUCGAACCUAUCCAUGAGUCCUCGAACAGAAGCUGUUUUUUAAUUCGCAAGUCUACCCCAUAUCCUGCUGGAAUUAACAAGAGUGGUUUUUCUGAAUCCUCUGGAAGUAAGGAAUCCCCUGAGGAUCUGUCUUUGAAGUAUCCAGAACUACGAGGAAUACAACAAACAUAUGUACCCGAAAUCAGGAAAAAAGAGCCGGAGUCUUCACCAACGUGGUUAUUCUCUCCUCCUAAAAGUUGCAUUUUGUUGGAGCCACCAGAUGAGGAACCCCUGGACAAUGUUGGCACUGGUCACCACUUGCCUACCACUGGUGCUUUAAAUCAACAAGCAGAUGUGGUUUUCUGGAAAGGAAAUGCUCGUCGAGAAACCAAUAUAAUUAACCAAGAAAAUACUGGCAUUAGCUUGGCUCCCGUAGAGAGUACUCCAAUGUGGAAGGAACCUCAGAGCACAAUGCGGAGGGGGAAACAUCAGGGUGAGAGUACUCUAAAGAAGGAGUUGUGGACGAAAUUUGAAGCGGUGUCGAGCUAUGGGCUUCGUUACAACACCUCAGCAGUUCAAAGAACAGCUAGAAAGGGUUUUCUUGACAUGCUGGAUGAGGCUUCGUGUGACGAAGAAAGUUCAAUAUGAGAUGGUUCGAGAUGACACUGCUCUCCAUGUCUACAAAACUGCAAAAAGCUCGAUUUAUAGUCGUUGGUAUUUGCAGAGAUUUUUCUGAGCUCUAUGAAUUGGGAUGUGAAUGCCUCUUUUGUAAGUUAUGGUUCCACCAAUAUCAGUUUAAACAUCAAUGUGGGAAAGUAAUUUUAUUAGAAUUUGUGGGGGCUUCUUGUUCAGUCGCAUGA